rnacentral:lncRNA from 1 species
CUUUUUCGUAUAUAUGUUUAUAUUUGGUUCACCUUCACACUGGAUCAUAAUUGUUUCUCCCAUCAGUCGUUAUUCACCAGUUGAACCAAUCGGUUCAACCAAGAAAAUAAAUUUUUGUUAGACAUGGAGAGCAUAGUCAUAAAGAUCCCAGCUCCACUUUCUCGGACAUUGUGCAAACUAAUUUUACUGCUAAAAAAAACUUCUUUAAAACCUUUUAAUACAGUGACAUAUAGACUGUGAAGAUACAUAGUUUUUUAAUCUUUUUAAUUAAUGACCUCCAACUUGUAACUCCUACACGUUAAACAACCAGAGGAGCCGACAUUGACUACCGUUAUUCAAAGAACAGUGUCUCCACAAAUUGUAAAUUAUGAAUUCGACUGUAUCUUAGUCCGCUUACUAUAAAAAGAAAAGGACUCAACUUUA